rnacentral:rRNA from 1 species
CCUACGGGAGGCAGCAGUGGGGGAUAUUGCACAAUGGGGGAAACCCUGAUGCAGCGACGCCGCGUGUGGGAAGACGGUCCUCUGGAUUGUAAACUACUGUCCCCAGGGACGAAGAUGACGGUACCUGGGGAGGAAGCUCCGGCAAACUACGUGCCAGCAGCCGCGGUAAUACGAAGGGAGCGAGCGUUGUCCGGAAUUACUGGGGGUAAAGGGAGCGUAGGCGGGACUGCAAGUUGGGUGUCAAAUCUACGGGUUCAACCGGUAGCCGCAGUCAAAACUGCAGUUCUUGAGUUCGGGGGAGGCAGGCGGAAUUCCUAGUGUAGCGGUGAAAUGCGUAGAUAUGACGCAGAACUCCGAUUGCGAAGGCAGCAUGCCGGCGCCCUACUGACGCUGAGGCACGAAAGCGUGGGUAUCGAACAGGAUUAGAUACCCUAGUAGUC